rnacentral:lncRNA from 1 species
GGCUGGUUAGACAUGUUGAUAUGCUGACCUAAAUUUGAUCAAUCGGAUAUCAGAUCUGCUAUUUAGAAGAGAUCUAAACCUAAAUCUUCUCACUAAAUAUUAAGUCUAGAAGUCUUCCAUUAUUGUAAAGAUACGGGUGUCUUCCUAGUGUUGAUUGUUCUCGGCUAGUUACAGUGGUUUGAUUGUAUCAAAAAGGUACAACCACUCUAUUGACAUUUGAUGUCUCGAGUUAGAGAUGGGGUUGGGCUCAAUAACUGUUAGAUGA